AGCCGGCCUGAGAGGGCGGACGGCCACACUGGGACUGAGACACGGCCCAGACCCCUGCGGGAGGCAGCAGUGGGGAAUAUUGCACAAUGGGGGAAACCCUGAUGCAGCGACGCCGCGUGAAGGAAGAAGUAUCUCGGUAUGUAAACUUCUAUCAGCAGGGAAGAAAACAGACGGUACCUGACUAAGAAGCCCCGGCUAACUACGUGCCAGCAGCCGCGGUAAUACGUAGGGGGCAAGCGUUAUCCGGAUUUACUGGGUGUAAAGGGGGCGCAGACGGCCAUGGCAAGCCCGGUGUGAAAGGCAGGGGCAUAACCCCUGGACUGCACUGGGAACUGUCAGGCUGGAGUGCCGGAGGGGUAAGCGGAAUUCCUGGUGUAGCGGUGAAAUGCGUAGAUAUCAGGAGGAACACCGGCGGCGAAGGCGGCUUACUGGACGGCAACUGACGUUGAGGCCCGAAAGCGUGGGGAGCGAACAGGAUUAGAUACCCUGGUAGUCCACGCCGUAAACGAUGUAUACCAGGUGUCGGAUAUCAAGGAUAUCCG
rnacentral:rRNA from 1 species